UACCAGCACCCCGAGUGGUCGGGACGUUUAUUGGGCCUAAAGCAUCCGUAACCGGUUCUACAAGUCUUCCGUUAAAUCCAGCUGCUUAACAGAUGGGCUGCGGAAGAUACUAUGGAGCUAGGAGGCGGGAGAGGCAAGCGGUACUCGAUGGGUAGGGGUAAAAUCCGUUGAUCCAUUGAAGACCACCAGUGGCGAAGGCGGCUUGCCAGAACGCGCUCGACGGUGAGGGAUGAAAGCUGGGGGAGCAAACCGG
rnacentral:rRNA from 1 species